GACGUAGGGGGCCAGCGUUGUUCGGAAUUACUGGGUGUAAAGGGUUCGUAGGCGGUGUGGCAAGUCGGGAGUGAAAUCUCUGGGCUCAACCCAGAGUCUGCUUCCGAAACUGCUGUGCUUGAGUGUGGGAGAGGCGCGUGGAAUUGCAGGUGUAGCGGUGAAAUGCGUAGAUAUCUGCAGGAACACCCGUGGCGAAAGCGGCGCGCUGGACCACUACUGACGCUGAACGGCGAAAGCUAGGGGAGCAAACGGG
rnacentral:rRNA from 1 species